rnacentral:rRNA from 1 species
AACGAACGCUGGCGGCAGGCCUAACACAUGCAAGUCGAACGCCGUAGCAAUACGGAGUGGCAGACGGGUGAGUAACGCGUGGGAACAUACCCCUCGGUUCGGAAUAACUCAGGGAAACUUGAGCUAAUACCGGAUACGUCCGAGGUUUUGAUCGACCUUGGAGAAAGAUUUAUCGCCGAAGGAUUGGCCCGCGUCUGAUUAGCUUGUUGGUGAGGUAAUGGCUCACCAAGGCGACGAUCAGUAGCUGGUCUGAGAGGAUGAUCAGCCACAUUGGGACUGAGACACGGCCCAAACUCCUACGGGAGGCAGCAGUGGGGAAUAUUGGACAAUGGGCGAAAGCCUGAUCCAGCCAUGCCGCGUGAGUGAUGAAGGCCUCGGUU